ACACAGAGCAGCAGAUUUCUACAAUGAAGUAAACAUUAUCAGCAGUGUUGAACAUAAGAACCUUGUCAGGCUGCUUGGUUGCAACUGCUCAGGACCAGAGAGUCUCCUCGUCUAUGAAUACCUUCAGAACAAGAGCCUUGAUCGAUUCAUCUUCGGUAACACAUCAAAUACUAUUCAUUGGAAUCCUUGAUAACAAGAAUCACUCUAUACCUGUCUUCAUUGCUACUUUUUGCAGAUGUUAACAGAGGCAAAACGCUAGACUGGCAGAGACGAUAUGUGAUCAUUGUUGGAACCGCUGAAGGGUUGGUGUAUUUGCACGAGCAGUCGACUGUGAGAAUUAUCCACAGAGACAUUAAAGCAAGCAAUAUCCUGCUAGAUUCAAAGCUUCAAGCUAAAAUCGCUGACUUUGGCCUGGCUAGAUCUUUCCAGGAGGAUAAGAGCCAUAUCAGCACUGCCAUUGCAGGGACCUUGUAAGUAUUUCUUCAGUAAAAAUGCAGCUUUCCUUCAAAAGAUAUGAUUUUGUUACUUCAGAAACUUGAAAUAAUAUGUUCUGAAUCUCUGAUCCAAUACCUGUGAAUCUACAGGGGUUAUAUGGCUCCGGAGUACUUGGCACAUGGUCAGCUAACAGAGAAAGUCGAUGUCUACAGCUUCGGAGUUCUUGUGCUAGAGAUUGUAACUGGAAAGCAGAACACCAAAAGCAAAAUGUCAGAUUACUCAGACAGUUUGAUUACAGAAGUAAGUUAGACCACAAAAGAAAAAAAAAACUGAUUUUUCAUCUUUCACUUCUCAUGCUAAUUGGUGUGUUUUUGUUUUGGCUUUUUAAAAAAAGGCAUGGAAGCAUUUUCAAUCAGGAGAGUUAGAGGAAAUAUAUGAUCCAAACCUGAACUGGAAGAAUCAAAAUGACAGUAUCUCUAUCAAAAAGGAGAUAGUGAGGGUUGUUCAAAUAGGUCUCUUGUGCACUCAAGAAAUCGCAUCGCUAAGACCAUCCAUG
rnacentral:lncRNA from 1 species